rnacentral:snRNA from 1 species
GUAAAUUGGCACCAAAUAUGUUCAAUAAAUAGUUUUUACUCUGUUCUUAUCAGCUUAAUAUCUGAUACGACGUCGACAUGACGUCAAGAUAUUAAACUAAUUUUUGCAGAUAGGCUUGUGGUUAGGAAUUUAUUCCGCCCUCGCCACGGGUUGGCCUGCUAUGGCACUACUUGCAGGAUACGGCCCACAAUAU